AACAUACGUAAAUAUAAAUCUCACAUAUAGUUUCUCUCCAUAUUAAUUUUCAUAGUUUUGUUAUUUUGAAGAUUAUACUUUUUAAAAUUAUACGAUAUAAUUAGAAUACGAAGAAUUAUAAUAAUGCAGAAAUAUUUAAAUUCAUAAUAAUUUUGGUGUUUAAAUAUAUUGAUAAACGUUCGUAAUAAUAAUAAUAAUAAUAAUAAUCCAUUUUAAAUAUAUCUUGUUCUAAAAUAAGAUUUAAUUGUCUAUAUUAAUGUUAUUUAACUAUAUUACGUGGAAAUCGACAAUGUGGAAUUUAUAAUGGUCUAAUCUCGUGAUUUGUCUUGUAAAAACAAAUUCUAUGACGCAGUGUUUAAAGAAUCAUGUGGAUAAAGAAAAUUCAUCAAUUCCGAAGCACACGUAACCUUAUUACGGGCACGAUUGCCUUAAUUUUUUUCUGUAGAAGAUAAAAUCGAGAUAAAGGUCGAAAGAUCCGUGGAUUUGUUCAAUUGUCAUUAAUAAAUGCAAAAAUUUGUAAUGUAAUGUCAUCUCGUGUUUCAUUAGAAUCCAUUGCAUGCAUUGAAUCCAUAGAAUCCAUAGAAUGCAUUGUAUUUUCUUGUAAAAGUGGUGAAGAAAGUUUUGACUCUAGUGUUCUUAAAUGUCGUGAAAAAAUUCAUCCAAUAUGCCUGUCUGACACUGCACACUGUCAGAAUACACAGGCAGCCUUAAAAUGUUAUGCAGAAGCAUGACUUUACAGCUAUUCUAUUCUAUCAUUUUUAAAUGUAAGUAAUGAAACGGAACAAGAAAUUUGAUUGGAUUAGAUAUAGGAAUACUUUUGGUCCUUCGGUAAAACAUAUAUCUGAAAAUAUAAUGGCAAUAAAAUACUAAGCUUGGAUUAAAUGUCCAUCAGGUUAAAAUAUUCAUUUUUCUUUUUUCAUUAGAAAAUUAAAACAAACAGAAUCAAACAUUGUUAUUUUUGUUAUUCUUCUAUGAUUAUAAUCUUUAUAAUUUAAUAUUUAAUUACAAACAUAUUUGCGUACA